CUUCGAUCAUCACUGUCCAUCCCGAAGUUAUCGAUGGAAGACCGGGGACACUAGUAGUUGAGUCAUUUAUUGUGGAUGUGCCUGAGGGGAACACCAAGGAGGAGACGUGUUUCUUCGUCCAUUCCCUAAUAAACUGCAACCUCAAAUCACUGGCUGAUGUCUCCGAGAGGAUGGCCGUGCUGCAGGAUGCAGUCGAACCGAUUCCUCCAUAUCGGGUAUAGCCAGAACAGGAGUACAACCAGAACAAAGGAAGCGUUUUUAAUAGAUUUUUCUACGUUGCUGCCGAUUUGCCAUCUCAUUGGAGACUCACCCAGUAUCCUCUUCUGAUUUUGUUUUCAUAUAUUUUCUGAAUGUGCUAGGAUGGUGUCUUAUGUUGAUAUUCUUGUUUCAGGAUUGUUCCUUUGGAUUUAUGGAACUCCCCAAAACUGGAAAUGUGGAGUUCUGUUUUGUUUUCAUUGUUAAAUAUGUAUUGUGGUAUAGAGAUGCUUUGAUCAGUGUAUGGAUACUUGAGGUGUUAUGUAUAUAAUAUGAACUUUGAG
rnacentral:misc_RNA from 1 species